rnacentral:rRNA from 1 species
GAUAAACGCUGGCGGCGUGCAUGAGACAUGCAAGUCGAACGAAGGAUCGGGCUUGCUCGAUCCUUAGUGGCGGACGGCUGAGUAACGCGUAGGUGACCUACCCCGAAGUGGGGAAUAACUGCCCGAAAGGGUGGCUAAUACCGCAUGUGGCCGCACGUUCAUUCGUGCGAGUAAAGCCGCAAGGCGCUUCGGGAGGGGCCUGCGUCCGAUUAGCUCGUUGGUGGGGUAAUGGCUUACCAAGGCGACGAUCGGUAGGUGGUCUGAGAGGACGAUCACCCAGACUGGGACUGAGACACGGCCCAGACUCCUACGGGAGGCAGCAGUCGGGAAUUUUGCUCAAUGGGGGAAACCCUGAAGCAGCAACGCCGCGUGAGGGAUGAAGGCCUUCGGGUUGUAAACCUCUUUUGUCAGGGACGAUGAUGACGGUACCUGGCGAAUAAGCCACGGCUAACUACGUG